UGGAACAUGUUCUCUUUUAGUAUUUCUCCAGUAGGUUUUCUCAAGGAGAAAGCCUCC
ensembl:snRNA U7 U7 small nuclear RNA